rnacentral:lncRNA from 1 species
CACAAUAAUAUUUUCUCCUAAAAAUUUUUACAAGUAGCAACACGCGACGAAAUGGACAUCAAAUUCAAUAGUUUAUUGUGUACAAACUUCAUUUUCCUGCAAAAUUUACACACAAAUAAUGUAUUGAUAUUGAUUUGUAGCUCAAGGUAGAUAAAUGGACCACUCUUUCUCUAUAAAUAUUUAGGUCAUGUGUGGAUCACAGAACACAGGCCAGGAAAAGGAAAUCAUGUAAUCUGAUCACACCAGCUCAUAGGUGUUAGUUAUAAAUCACACCCUCGUAUUUAAAGCCUUUUUCCUGCUUAAACCUGUUUUUUAAGAUCGGUGCCUUCUAACAGCUUCACAUCGAUCGAUCACAUUACGAUCACUAGUGUCCAUCUUCAUUAAUAGGACGGUUAUAACCAUUUAUUUGGUUUCAAUCUCGAGUUUUUGUUUUCAUCUAAUUUUCUUUAUUUCUAUCUCCUACAUUUCAUAAUCUUUCUUCAUCAUUAUUCACAUGUCAUUUAUGUGUGUAAAUCUUCUGAACCGAAAAUUUGUAUGUACGUGAUCUCUCUGUGACUUUUCGUAGUUGGGGUUCUACCAUGAUACUAAUUGGCAAUAUGAAGAGUAAUUCAACAUCUCAUAAGCCCAUGCAAGAUCACUCAUCCCAUCAAUGUGAGACUUAUUCCUAACACACCCCCUCACAUGUGAUGAAUUUUCAAGCUUAACACGUGG